rnacentral:miRNA from 1 species
AGCCCCGUUUUCUCGAGACUACAAGAUAGUUUUCUCAUGAUCUCGAAUAAAACAAGUCUUCGUGAAUGUGGUAUUUAAUUUUUUUUAACCCCCGUUUUCUUGAAAUCAUGAGAAAACUAUCUUGUGAUCUCGAGAAAACAAGGCU